AUUGAACGCUGGCGGCAGGCCUAACACAUGCAAGUCGAACGAGUGGCGGACGGGUGAGUAAUGUCUGGGAACCUGCCCGAUGGAGGGGGCUAACUACUGGAAACGGUAGCUAAUACCGCAUACCAUCGGAUGUGCCCAGAUGGGAUUAGCUAGUAGGUGGGGUAACGGCUCACCGAGGCGACGAUCCCUAGCUGGUCUGAUAGGAUGACCAGCCACACUGGAAUUGUGACACGGUCCAUACUCCUACGGGAGGCAGCAGUGGGGAAUAGUGCACAAUGGGUGCAAGCCUGAUGCAGCCAUGCCGCGUGUAUGAAGAAGGCCUUCGGGUUGUAAAGUACUUUCAGCGGGGAGGCGUUACUCACAGAAGAAGCACCGGCUAACUCCGUGCCAGCCGCCGCGGUAAUUC
rnacentral:rRNA from 1 species